rnacentral:rRNA from 1 species
AGGACGAACGCUGGCGGCGUGCCUAACACAUGCAAGUCGAGCGAGGAGAUCCUUCGGGAUGAUCCUAGCGGCGGACGGGUGAGUAACACGUGGGCAACCUGCCUCAUAGAGAGGAAUAGCCUUCCGAAAGGGAGAUUAAUACCUCAUAACAUUGCAGUUUCGCAUGGAACAGCAAUUAAGGAGUAAUCCGCUAUGAGAUGGGCCCGCGGCGCAUUAGCUAGUUGGUGAGGUAACGGCUCACCAAGGCGACGAUGCGUAGCCGACCUGAGAGGGUGAUCGGCCACAUUGGGACUGAGACACGGCCCAGACUCCUACGGGAGGCAGCAGUGGGGAAUAUUGCACAAUGGGGGAAACCCUGAUGCAAGCAACGCCGCGUGAGUGAUGACGGCCUUCGGGUUGUAAAGCUCUGUCUUCAGGGGCGAUAAUGACGGUACCUGAGGAGGAAGCCACGGCUAACUACGUGCCAGCCGCAGC